rnacentral:lncRNA from 1 species
UGGUGGAGGAGAGGUUGCAGUUGAAGGAGAAGGACGACCAAUCCAUAGCGCCACCGCCGAAUCGCUACUCAAGAAGCACCGCUUUGAUUCCGCCGGAUUGCAAACAACCACCGCCACUACUGCGGGUGCCGUCAACAACAGCAGCAGCAGCAACUCGGGAAGUAGCUUGGACGCUAGCAGGGACACCGACAUGACUCUUGGAAACGGAAAUCC